rnacentral:lncRNA from 1 species
AUGCAUAUCGGUCGAUCCCUAAUCAUCAUCACCAUCAACAUCAUCAUCACACCAUCAUCAUCACCAUCACACCAUCAUCAUCACCACCAUCACACCAUCAUACCAUCAUCAUCCUCAACAUCAUCACACCAUCACUACACCCUACAACAGUCAGUCACACCAUCACCAUCAUACCAUCAUCAUCACACAUCACACCAUCAUCAUCACCAUCACACCUUCAUCAUCAUACCAUCGAUCAUCACACAUCACACCAUCAUCAUCACCAUCAACAUCAUCAUCACACCAUCAUCAUCACCUCACACCAUCAUCAUCACCAUCACACCAUCAUCAUCACCACCAUCACACCAUCAUACCAUCAUCAUCCUCAACAACAUCACACCAUCAUCACCCUCAACAUCAUCACACCAUCACCAUCAUACCAUCAUCAUCACACAUCACACCAUCAUCAUCACCACACCAUCAUCAUCACACCAUCAUCAUCAUCAUACAUCACACCAUCAUCAUCACACAUCACACCAUCAUCAUCACCACACCAUCAUCAUCACACCAUCAUCAUCAUCAUACAUCACACCAUCAUCAUCACACAUCACACCAUCAUCAUCACCACACCAUCAUCAUCACACCAUCAUCAUCAUCAUACAUCACACCAUCACACCAUCAUCAUCGCCAUCACACCAUCAUCAUCACCACCAUCACACCAUCACUCAUCCUCAACAUCAUCACACCAUCAUCACCCUCAACAUCAUCAUCACACCAUCACCAUCACAUCAUCACCAUCACACCUUCAUCAUCCUCAACAUCAUCACACAUCAUCAUCCUUACCAUCAUCAUCACACAUCACACCAUCAUCAUCACCACACCAUCAUCAUCACACCAUCAUCAUCAUACAUCACACCAUCAUCAUCACACAUCACACCAUCAUCAUCACCACACCAUCAUCAUCACACCAUCAUCAUCAUACAUCACACCAUCAUCAUCACACAUCACACCAUCAUCAUCACCACACCAUCAUCAUCACACCAUCAUCAUCAUACAUCACACCAUCAUCAUCACACAUCACACCAUCAUCAUCACCACACCAUCAUCAUCACACCAUCAUCAUCAUACAUCACACCAUCAUCAUCACACAUCACACCAUCAUCAUCACCACACCAUCAUCAUCACACCAUCAUCAUCAUACAUCACACCAUCAUCAUCACACAUCACACCAUUUUUUCUUGA